GACGUAGGGCGCGAGCGUUUGUCCGGAUUUAUUGGGCGUAAAGAGCUCGUAGGCGGCUUGUCGCGUCGACUGUGAAAUCCCGCGGCUCAACUGCGGGUCUGCAGUCGAUACGGGCAGGCUAGAGUUCGGUAGGGGAGACUGGAAUUCCUGGUGUAGCGGUGAAAUGCGCAGAUAUCAGGAGGAACACCGGUGGCGAAGGCGGGGACUCUGGGGCCGAUACUGACGCUGAGGAGCGAAAGCGUGGGGGAGCGAACAGG
rnacentral:rRNA from 1 species